UACACAUGAUGCUUUUUCACGAUGGUCUUCUGAGCAGAGCUGAAGACAGUUGCCAGUUGGCAUGACUGAUGUAGUCUU